AUGCACGCCACUGCGCAAGAAAAUAAAGCUCAGCUCAGUGUUAUCUCUUGGAAUAUCAAUGGACUGAAAGAAAAACUCAAAGAUGACAGAAAAAAAAAACAAUUACUGAAUAUUUUUGGUAAAUAUGACAUUGUCCUGCUCCAAGAGACCCACUUAGGUAAAAAAAAUAAAAACAAAAAGAAGGUAGCAAAGGCUACAAAGCUAAGAGAGGAGAAGUUGUUAGAGAGAGGGCUACAUUUAAAGAAUGAGAAUAAGGAUGAGGAGGCAAUGAAGUCAGAAUAUAAGGAUAACAAGAUGGAUUUAGAAAAUUAUUAUAAGGUAGAAAAUAAGGACAUCAUAGAUUCAGAGAAUGAAGAUGAAGACGAGGAGGAAAUGAAGUCGGAAUAUGAGGAGAACUCAGAGGAUUCAGAGAAGCAGGAGGAGCAAAUUAAGGAUGGAAUAUAUUCAGAGGAUGAAGAUGAAGACGAGGAGGAAAUGAAGUCGGAAUAUGAGGAGAACUCAGAGGAUUCAGAGAAGCAGGAGGAGCAAACUGAUGAUGGCAUAGAUUCAGAGAAUGAAGAUGAGGAGAAAGUCAGGAUUUUCUUUAAAAAAAGUGGUUAUAUUGUAGAAGUGCUACAAAAUCAGAGAUGCAUAAAACCUAGGACAAGAGUUGAGCACAAAAUUUAUCUAACAAAAUUCAGUUCAAAGAGCAGAGGUGUUGCCAUUCUUGUGAAUAAGCAGCACAUAUGUCUACAAGCAUUUUGCGAGGGAGGAGACUAUGCUUGGGUUUAUGUUGAGAUUGACAAUAAGAGGUACACAUUUGUGAGUGCUUAUUACCAUCACGAAGAAAAAUCCAAUCUCAUGUUGAGGAUUCUCUGCAGCUUCCUAACACAGGAACCAACAGCUUGUGAAUGGCCUGUCAUUGGUGGAGACUUUAACACAACACUUAAUUACAAAUUGGACAAAGGUAGCACAAAAGAUAGCGCAAAGCACAAAUCACGGAGAAAGAACAUCCUGGAAAUCAUGGAAACAAUGAAGCUAAAAGAUGUCUGGAGAGAGAAACAUCCAAAUGAAAAGGUCUGCACAUAUUCAUGUAAAAAGCCUGUGUCCAGAUUAGACUAUGUGUUCAUGCUGCAGAAACAUAUGCCUUGUGUGCAAAAUUGUGAUAUAUGGCUGGAUAAAGACAUGGUUCCAAAACUUUCUGACCACUACCCUGUGAGGCUCACUUUGACUAUAAAAAACUAG
ensembl:lncRNA